rnacentral:ncRNA from 1 species
CGAUCACCCAAGGGGGGCUCCGUCAGGGAGCUGAGAUAUCGCCGCGACGCGCGAUGACCCUUUGAACCUGAUCCGGGUCAUUCCGGCGAAGGGAUGGGAUCGCGGCGGCUU